rnacentral:rRNA from 1 species
GGUCCGCGUUCCAUUAGCUUGUUGGUGAGGUAACGGCUCACCAAGGCAAUGAUGGGUAGCCGGCCUUAGCGGGUGACCGGCCACACUGGGACUGAGAUACGGCCCAGACUCCUACGGGAGGCAGCAGUCGAGAAGCUUCCACAAUGGGGGAAACCCUGAUGGAGCGACGCCGCGUGGGUGAUGAAAGUCUUCGGAUUGUAAAUCCCUUUCAGCAGGGACGAAUAGAUCGGGUGUUAAUACCACCAGAUUUGAGACGGUACCUGCAGAAGAAGCUCCGGCUAACUCCGUGCCAGCAGCCGCGGUAAUACGGGGGGAGCAAGCGUUGUUCGGAUUUACUGGGCGUAAAGGGCGUCUAGGCGGAGCAGUCAGUCAGGUGUGAAAUCCCACGGCUCAACCGUGGAAUUGCACUUGAUACUGCUGUUCUUGAGUUCGGGAGAGGGAAGCGGAAUUCCUGGUGUAGCGGUGGAAUGCGUAGAUAUCAGGAAGAACACCGGUGGCGAAGGCGGCUUCCUGGCCCGUAACUGACGCUAAAGCGCGAAAGUGUGGGGAGCAAACAGGAUUAGAUACCCUGGUAGUCCACACCGUAAACGAUGGACACUAGAUGCCGGG